rnacentral:rRNA from 1 species
AAGUCGUAACAAGGUUUCCGUAGGUGAACCUGCGGAAGGAUCAUUAUUGAAUAAACUUGAACAGGCUGUUGCUGGCCCUCCUCGGAGGGAUACGUGCACGCUUGUCAUCUUUAUUUCUCCAACUGUGCACAUAAUUGUAGACCUUGAUGUUUGAUGGAUUUAUUUUUCGAGUUGGGGACUGCUGUGCUUUCUCAAGUCGGCUUUCCCUUGUAUUUCUCAGGUCUAUGUCAUUUAUCACAAACCUUCGAGUCUGUUUAGAAUGUUGAAUCAGGUCUUUUGUACCUAUAAAGUUAAAUAUACAACUUUCAGCAACGGAUCUCUUGGCUCUCGCAUCGAUGAAGAACGCAGCGAAAUGCGAUAAGUAAUGUGAAUUGCAGAAUCCAGUGAAUCAUCGAAUCUUUGAACGCAUCUUGCGCUCCCUGGUAUUCCGAGGAGCAUGCCUGUUUGAGUGUCAUCUAAAUCCUCAAACCACAUUGAUUCUUUCGGUGUGGCUUUGGAAGUGGGGGUAGUGUUGCAGGCUUUUAUUAUUCUAAAGUCUGCUCCCCUGAAAUGCAUUAGUGGUAUCUGAGCAGAAGAAACUACUAUAGGUGUGAUAAUUUAUCUACGCCUUGGUAUGCUGCAUAAACGGGAUUACAUUGCUUAUAAACACAAACAUUGUUUAAUUUUUUUUGGAGACCUCAAAUCAGGUAGGACUACCCGCUGAACUUAA